GGGCAUGGAGGAACUCUCGACCGUGACGCCGCGUGAGGGAUGAAGGCCUUCGGGUUGUAACCUCUUUCAGCAGGCAAUAAGCGAAAGUGAAGGUACCUGCAGAAGAAGCACCGGCUAACUAUGUGUCAGCAGCCGCGGUAAUACGUAGGGUGCGAGCGUUAAUCGGAAUUACUGGGCGUCAAGCGUGCGCAGGCGGUUAUACAAGACAGGCGUGAAAUCCCCGGGCUUAACCUGGGAAUGGCGUCUGUGACUGUAUAGCUAGAGUGUGUCAGAGGGGGGUGGAAUUCCACGUGUAGCAGUGAAAUGCGUAGAUAUGUGGAGGAACACCAAUGGCGAAGGCAGCCCCCUGGGAUAACACUGACGCUCAUGCACGAAAGCGUGGGGAGCAAACAGGAUUAGAUACCCUGGUAGUCCACGCCCUAAACGAUGCUGACUAGUUGUUGGGAAUUUACAUUCUCAGUAACGUAGCUAACGCGUGAAGUCAGCCGCCUGGGGAGUACGGUCGCAAGAUUAAAACUCAAAGGAAUUGACGGGGACCCGAACAAGCGGUGGAUGAUGUGGAUUAAUUCGAUGCAACGCGAAAAACCUUAACUACCCUUGACAUGUCACUAACGAAGUAGAGAUACAUUAGGUGGCCGUAAGGGAAAGUGAACACA
rnacentral:rRNA from 1 species